rnacentral:snoRNA from 1 species
AUACCCUCUUGGGGAUGACUUGGAACUUUCAGAAGCCAACAGAAAGAUAAAAGUAAUUCUCCAUAAAACCCGAGAGGAGAUUGUGCAAACUCCUUGGAUCCUAUCUGCCAUCACAGCC